AUGAAGGAAAUCCUGGGAUAUGCAUUAGCAGUCUUGUGCCUUCAGUUUGGCUGGUUAAAUGGAGAAGAUCAAGUGGAACAGAGUCCGCAGGCACUGAUAAUCCAGGAGGGAGACAAUCCUAGUCUCAACUGCAGUUUCUCGGUCAGCAAUUUUAGAGGACUACAGUGGUAUAAGCAAGAGCCUGGGAAAGGCCCUGAAUUGCUCUUCCUCUUGUAUUCAGUUGGGGAUGAAAAGCAGAAAGAGGGACUGAAAGCAACAUUAUCAAAAAAGGAAAGUUCCCUGCACAUCACAACCGCUAAAUCUGAAGACUCAGCUACCUACCUUUGUGCUAUAGACACAGUUCUCCCCAGGCACCUGCAGACUAUACCAAAACUCUACAGCUGGGGCUGUGGAAUAAAUGCCACAAACAGCUCUGGGUCUUUUCUCCUCAGAGAACGGAGUGUUUCCUCAGCGCCUAGAACCUCUUCCUGA